GUGUUGUAUGAAAGGAGGCAAGUUUGGUACUCUCCUAGACAAGGAUGGAUUACAAUUAAUACAAAUAUAGGGUGUAUAUGAAUAGUGGGGAAAAAUUUAG